CAAUAAGCGGAGGAAAAGAAACUAACAAGGAUUCCCCUAGUAACUGCGAGUGAAGCGGGAAAAGCUCAAAUUUAAAAUCUGGCAGUCUAUGGCUGUCCGAGUUGUAAUCUAGAGAAGCGUUAUCCGCGUUGGACCGUGUACAAGUCUCCUGGAAUGGAGCGUCGUAGAGGGUGAGAAUCCCGUCUUUGACACGGACUGCCAGGGCUUUGUGAUGCGCUCUCAAAGAGUCGAGUUGUUUGGGAAUGCAGCUCAAAAUGGGUGGUAAAUUCCAUCUAAAGCUAAAUAUUGGCGAGAGACCGAUAGCGAACAAGUACCGUGAGGGAAAGGUGAAAAGAACUUUGGAAAGAGAGUUAAACAGUACGUGAAAUUGCUGAAAGGGAAACGCUUGAAGUCAGUCGCGUUGGCCAGGGAUCAACCUUGCUUCUGCUUGGUGUACUUUCUGGUUGGACGGGUCAGCAUCAAUUUUGACCAUUGGAAAAAGGUCAGGGGAAUGUGGCAUCUUCGGAUGUGUUAUAGCCCUUGGUUGCAUACAAUGGUUGGGAUUGAGGAACUCAGCACGCCGCAAGGCCGGGUUUUUAACCACGUACGUGCUUAGGAUGCUGGCAUAAUGGCUUUAAUCGACCCGUCUUGAAACACGGACCAAGGAGUCUAACAUGCCUGCGAGUGUUUGGGUGGAAAACCCGAGCGCGCAAUGAAAGUGAAAGUUGAGAUCCCUGUCGUGGGGAGCAUCGACGCCCGGACCAGACCUUUUGUGACGGUUCCGCGGUAGAGCAUGUAUGUUGGGACCCGAAAGAUGGUGAACUAUGCCUGAAUAGGGUGAAGCCAGAGGAAACUCUGGUGGAGGCUCGUAGCGAUUCUGACGUGCAAAUCGAUCGUCAAAUUUGGGUAUAGGGGCGAAAGACUAAUCGAACCAUCUAGUAGCUGGUCU
rnacentral:rRNA from 1 species